GUGAUUGUAGCUUAACGGCAGAGUGUCAGAUUGUGGUUCUGAAAGGUAUGGGUUCGAGUCCCAUCUAUCACCCCA
rnacentral:tRNA from 1 species